rnacentral:rRNA from 1 species
CCUACGGGAGGCAGCAGUGAGGAAUAUUGGACAAUGGGCGCAAGCCUGAUCCAGCCAUGCCGCGUGCAGGAAGACGGUCCUAUGGAUUGUAAACUGCUUUUGUACAGGAAGAAACAUCCCGACGUGUCGGGACUUGACGGUACUGUAAGAAUAAGGAUCGGCUAACUCCGUGCCAGCAGCCGCGGUAAUACGGAGGAUCCAAGCGUUAUCCGGAAUCAUUGGGUUUAAAGGGUCCGUAGGCGGUUUAAUAAGUCAGUGGUGAAAUCUGGUCGCUCAACGAUCAAACGGCCAUUGAUACUGUUAGACUUGAAUUAUAAGGAAGUAACUAGAAUAUGUAGUGUAGCGGUGAAAUGCUUAGAUAUUACAUGGAAUACCAAUUGCGAAGGCAGGUUACUACUUAUGGAUUGACGCUGAUGGACGAAAGCGUGGGGAGCGAACAGGAUUAGAUACCCUGGUAGUCCACGCCGUAAACGAUGGAUACUAGCUGUUGGGAUUUAUCUCAGUGGCUAAGCGAAAGUGAUAAGUAUCCCACCUGGGGAGUACGUUCGCAAGAAUGAAACUCAAAGAUAGACGACGNGAGAGAGACGACGACGACGACGAGGAGGAGG